GUCAUUUCUGAAAGAUGAAGGAAGAACAGAGUUAGAAGGAGGGAUCAACUUGGGAUCUGUAGGCUGGGAAUUCUUAUAGGAAUUUCAAAGAGAUGUCAUGAGGACAGUGGGAUAUAUGAGUCUGGAUUUCAGGAGAGAGGUCUAUACCAGAUACAUAAAUUUUGGAUUCAUCAGAAUAUACAUAACAUUUGAAACUUUUGAGAGUGAAUAAAAUUCCAAGAGAGGAAGGGCAAAAUGAGAGAUGACAGCUCAAGACAGAACCAAGAGCCUCCUCAACAUAAAAGAGAGGAGAGAGCAAAGGAGAUUGAGAAGCAGCAGACAAUGCCUAGGAGAGAAGACAGGAAAAUGUUUCAAGGAGAGUGGACUGACAGCCAACUGAACACUGAAAGGUAAGGGAGUCAAAGGAGAGCGUCCACUAGAGUUUACUACUCAGAGGUCUCAGAUGACCUUGGCGUGGACAGUUUCAGUGGGUGUCAGGACGGAGUGGAGUGGUUUCAAGAAUGAAUGGGAAGUUAGGAAGUAUAAAUAAGGUUUUGCCUUGAAGGGUGGAGAGCUGAAACCACAGCUGGAGGGGCUCAGAAUGCAAGACACACACAGGCAAAUUCAAAAUAGGUUCGGAUUAACCUCGGAACCCAAGGUGGGAAAACUGCUCCUAAUGAAUGUUCCUGACAGUGCUAGGCCUCCUGGCUGAGCUGGGGACACAGCCGGCCCCAGGGCACACCCCUCGGUCGCUGAGGGCAACAGAAUGCGGCUUCACAGAGCCCUGGCCUGGGACUCCUGCGGGAUUCCGUGCGGCCUGCUUCCUACCCCACCCCGUCCCCUUCCCAGCGCUAGACCUCCCCUCCCCCACCCCACCCCCAAAGCCCCUGGCUCCGUGUCCCCUACACUUGCCCCCUAGUUGUCCCAAGGAGCAAGAGAGACUGUAGAUACCGAGAUUCAGAAAGGUAAAGCGACUUGCCUGCAGUCACAGUUAGUGGUGAAAUCAGACUGGAAACUCCUCCUGCUGCUGAACAUAAAACUGUGACACAAGGCCUUGCAAAUGUCAAGAAUAAAUUGCUCCCCAGGAGAAAUUCACAAGAAGGAAGAGAAUUCGAAUGAAAAAUAAAAAGGAAGGGAUGGUGGGGCGCAGUGUUUACUUCGGAUCCCAGUGAUCAGAUCACUGACCUAGAGACCAUCAAGGAUAAUGAAGGGCAAUGCUACCCAUAGAAAUUCUCUAAAGGCUUACUCCCCUACGGCCGAAGUUUAAUUUUUUGGAUUUUUCACACACUGAACAACUGAUUGGAGAUGCAUCUAAAAGUAAAGGUGUCCAAAUCUUCUCUUUUUAUUAGUCUUCUAAGGCGUUACACUGAGGUGAAAAAGAACCCUCCCCAAGACACACACACACCCACAUACACACACACCUCAAUCUAGGUGCAGCUGCCACUUCAUCCAUCCCAAUGAGCACCACCAUCUACUGGUUUGCCCAAGCCAGAAGCUUCAAGGUUGUCUUUGAAUGGACAUUCACUUGACUUGAGGUGAAUGUUUUGACUUUAUAUUAUAAAAUUUUCAACUAUAUACAAAAAUAACAGUAUAAUCAUAUACUCAUCAUCCAUUUUCAACAAUUAUCAAUUCAUGGUCAAGAGUUUAUUAGUUUAUUAUAAUUGACUCACCUGUGAUAUGUGAACUAUGAACCAGAUCCCAAACCAGGGCAUGGGGGAUCCAUGAAUCACAUUAAACUGCAACCCACCUGGAGGAGAUGACCUCUGACCUGAGUCCUUGAAAAAAUGAGUUAGGUUACCCAGGAGAAGAAAGGUGUCCCCAUUCAUUCAUUUAUCUCUUUCAACAAAUUAUUAUUAUGCAUGAGGUACUGUCCUUGGUACUAGGAAUAUCUAAAGAAACAAGAUAGAGUUUCCGCCUUCAUAAAGCUUGAAAUUUUACAGAGGAAAGAGACAUUAAGCAUAUAACAAAAACUGUGGUGAGUAUCUCAAAGGAGAUGUGUAGGGCUUGAUAUGAGCUUAAUUUGGUCUGGAAUAUUUAGGAGGCUUUCAAGGACAAUGAUGAUUUGCACUAUGGUAGCAGGACUAGAGAUGGAGAAAAUUGCACAUGUUUAAUAAAUAUUUAGGAGAUAGAAUUUACAGAGAUUAGUGAGGGAUGAAGGAAGUACAUAGAGAUCAGGCAGGAGAAGAGAAAAUUUUUCCAAAUAGCAGGAGAAUCACAGGAAGGCAAAUAUGGGUGUUACUAUGAUCUCAAGCCCCCACCAAAACUCACUUUGAAAUUUAAUCCCCAAAAGGUGGGAUCAGGUGAGACAUUUAGGAGGUGAUAAGGUGUGGGGUAUGGUGGCACCCACUUGUAAUCUCAACAACUGGUAAGGCUGAGGCAGGAAGAUCAUGAAUUUGAGGUCAGCUUAUACAAUUUAGUGAGACCUGUCUCAAAAUAAAAAAAUAAAUAGGCCUGAGGUGUCUAUAGUUCAGUGGUAGAGCACUUGCCAAACAUGUAAAAGGACCUAGCACCACAAAAACCAAAAAUAAAAAACCCACACAAAGAUGUGAUAGGAUCAUGAGAGUUCUGCUACUAUGGAUGGGUUAGUCCAUUUAUGGAUUAAUGGACUAAUGAGUUAUCUGGAGAGUGGAUCUAUUAUAAAAGCAAGUUUGACUCAAUCUCUUAUAUGCACCUCUUGCCAUGUGGUGCCCUGAGCCAUUUUGGGAUCCUACAAAGAGUCCCUAGCAGUAUUUACGAAGAGUCCCUAAGAGUUAUAGUUAUGUUAUUUGAUUUGAUAAGCCAGCCAAUUAGCAUUAGCAGGCAGUUGGCAACCAAAUGCCUAAGUGAAAGAUCAGAAUUUUCAUCUCUAUUAACAGUGAAGACAGUUCUAGAGCAAAAGUAGCUUUAUCCUCCAUUUACACAGACAUAUUUUUAUAUUAUAAAUUUUCUUGUAGUUUAUCUACAAAAUGCUUUCUUCUGAGUAGUAGUUUUUAUCUGGAAAAUCUAUGAAGAGUAAAAUCUUCCCAGUACUACCUGAAGUGGAAUUUAGAAGUCAAAUUCAAGGCCUGGCAGAACUUCCUCAACACCCUUCAACAGGACUAUUCUAAAAGACAGAUACUAUGAGAAGAGAAAAGGAUAGAGAAAUGAAUUCUGGAAAUGCCAACAUUUAGGAAGCCUGCAAAGGAGAGAAGGUUAUGAAGGAAAAUGAAAAGAAACAGAAGGGUAAGAGAAGAAUCAGGAGAGAGUAAGGUCAUGGAAGAAAUCCAAAGGAAGAAAAAAUUUCAAGGAGAGGGCUGGGACUCUGAAAACCACAGUUCUCGCACUCCCUUGUCAGCUUGGUUCCAGUUAAGUCUGAAGGUGGGAAGAAGGGAAAGUCCUUCCGUUUCUGGCAGUGCCACUGGCAACAUCAACUGCAGCAGUUCCUGCCUAGAAAAAGUGGAGACAGUUCCAGCAGCAUCAGCAAUACAGGCUAGUGCAGAUUUGUGGGCUCCAGCUUCUGGAUUUUUGGUUAAUAACUUUUCUUCCUUUGGCUUCUCUAAAACAAGACUGGUACUAGCUUCCUGAUCUCUGGGUAACCAUGUUUUUUUUCUUGUGUCUCCAAAACCUCCCUAUCACUUUGUAACACUUUCCUUGCAUUAAAUCCGUCUCUACUUGGAA